CCUACGGGAGGCAGCAGUGGGGGAUAUUGCACAAUGGGGGGAACCCUGAUGCAGCGACGCCGCGUGGGUGAAGAAGCGCCUCGGCGCGUAAAGCCCUGUCAGCAGGGAAGAAAAUGACGGUACCCGAAGAAGAAGCCCCGGCUAACUACGUGCCAGCAGCCGCGGUAAUAUGUAGGGGGCAAGCGUUAUCCGGAUUUACUGGGUGUAAAGGGGGCGCAGACGGCGAUGCAAGCCAGGAGUGAAAGCCCGAGGCCCAACCCCGGGACUGCACUUGAAACUGGGUGGCUGGAGUGCAGGAGGGGCAGGCGGAAUUCCUGGUGUAGCGGUGAAAUGCGUAGAUAUCAGGAGGAACACCGGUGGCGAAGGCGGCCGGCUGGACUGCAACUGACGUUGAGGCCCGAAAGCGUGGGGAGCAAACAGGAUUAGAUACCCCGGUAGUC
rnacentral:rRNA from 1 species